rnacentral:ncRNA from 1 species
UUUUGGUGAUGUCUCGCAAGUAUUAACUACUACUGCAGGUCAUCCAGGAUCGGAGGUCUUUGAACAAUCCUAACUGUUGCUCCGAGAAUGAAAGUUAAUCUAGGGAUAACGCGUUGAUCUCCAGGGAAAGGUCGUAUUGACUGGGAAGGUUGGCACCUGAAUCUCGGCUCGUCGCAUCCUGAAGCUAAAGUAGGUGGGAAGGCUUGGCCUGUUCGCCCAAAAAUGCGGCACGUGAGCCGGGAUCAGAACGCCGCGGAAUAGCUCGGUCCAUAUCGGGUGUAGGCCUGA